rnacentral:rRNA from 1 species
CAAGUCGGACGGGAUAGGAGAGCUUGCUUUCCUUGAGAGUGGCGCACGGGUGCGUAACACGUAUGUAACCUACCUUGUUCAGGGGGAUAGCCUCUCGAAAGAGAGAUUAAGACCGCAUAACAUUAAGUUGUGGCAUCGCAAUUUAAUCAAAUAUUUAUAGGAACAAGAUGGGCAUGCGGAACAUUAGCUAGUUGGUAAGGUAACGGCUUACCAAGGCUACGAUGUUUAGGGGAUCUGAGAGGAUGACCCCCCACACUGGUACUGAGACACGGACCAGACUCCUACGGGAGGCAGCAGUAAGGAAUAUUGGUCAAUGGGCGGAAGCCUGAACCAGCCAUGCCGCGUGCAGGAAGACGGCCCUACGGGUUGUAAACUGCUUUUGUACGGGAAUAAACCUUUGGUCGUGACCAAAGCUGAAUGUACUGUAAGAAUAAGGAUCGGCUAACUCCGUGCCAGCAGCCGCGGUAAUACGGAGGAUCCAAGCGUUAUCCGGAUUUAUUGGGUUUAAAGGGUGCGUAGGUGGCUUAUUAAGUCAGGGGUGAAAGACGGUAGCUUAACUAUCGCAGUGCCUUUGAUACUGAUGAGCUUGAAUGAACUAGAGGUAGGCGGAAUGUGACAAGUAGCGGUGAAAUGCAUAGAUAUGUCACAGAACACCAAUUGCGAAGGCAGCUUACUAUGGUUAUAUUGACACUGAGGCACGAAAGCGUGGGGAUCAAACAGGAUUAGAUACCCUGGUAGUCCACGCCCUAAACGAUGAAUACUCGAUGUUGGCGAUAUACGGUCAGCGUCUAAGCGAAAGCGUUAAGUAUUCCACCUGGGGAGUACGCCCGCAAGGGUGAAACUCAAAGGAAUUGACGGGGGCCCGCACAAGCGGAGGAGCAUGUGGUUUAAUUCGAUGAUACGCGAGAACCUUACCCGGGCUUGAAA